ensembl:misc_RNA predicted gene, 27271
CGCGUUUGCGUCUAAAUGGGUGUGGUGCUAAGUAUAUCUUGUUUAUCUUUCUUUGGAAAAAGUUUUGAAGUCUAGUGGCGUUUGUCACAUCAUCCCUGUUGCCUAGCGCUAUCAAGUGUGUUCCUACCUAGCAACAGAGAAGGGGAUCAGUGGACUUUGUUGGUUGGC